rnacentral:rRNA from 1 species
AUUGAACGCUGGCGGCAGGCUUAACACAUGCAAGUCGAGCGGAGAUGAGGUGCUUGCACCUUAUCUUAGCGGCGGACGGGUGAGUAAUGCUUAGGAAUCUGCCUAUUAGUGGGGGACAACAUUCCGAAAGGAAUGCUAAUACCGCAUACGUCCUACGGGAGAAAGCAGGGGAUCUUCGGACCUUGCGCUAAUAGAUGAGCCUAAGUCGGAUUAGCUAGUUGGUGGGGUAAAGGCCUACCAAGGCGACGAUCUGUAGCGGGUCGGAGAGGAUGAUCCGCCACACUGGGACUGAGACACGGCCCAGACUCCUACGGGAGGCAGCAGUGGGGAAUAUUGGACAAUGGGGGGAACCCUGAUCCAGCCAUGCCGCGUGUGUGAAGAAGGCCCUAUGGUUGUAAAGCACUUUAAGCGAGGAGGAGGCUACUGAGACUAAUACUCUUGGAUAGUGGACGUUACUCGCAGAAUAAGCACCGGCUAACUCUGUGCCAGCCGCCGCAGUAACAC